AUGAAGGGCCACAACAGGGCGGUAUACGAAAAUGGUAUGGCACCAGUCAGCAUAAGAUUCCCAGUCGUGGGGGCUACAAUGGACAACUUCACCCUGGCUAUCUGUCCUCUGUCUGUGGUGCUGGACAUUGCAUGCCAGUUUAAAGACAAUGAGUUUCAUCGUCAGAUUCUCAAGAAGAUGCACUGCUCCUGUGUCAACUCUACUGGCAGUCCCAUUAGUGGGCUCACUACCUCCACAUCGACAAAAGACUACCAUAGAGCACAUGUUGGCAUAUACAUCACCAUUGCCCUUUUAGUCAUGGUCAUUCUUGGACUGGGG